rnacentral:rRNA from 1 species
GGUGACAGCCCCGUACACAAAAAUGCACAUGCUGUGAGCUCGAUGAGUAGGGCGGGACACGUGGUAUCCUGUCUGAAUAUGGGGGGACCAUCCUCCAAGGCUAAAUACUCCUGACUGACCGAUAGUGAACCAGUACCGUGAGGGAAAGGCGAAAAGAACCCCGGCGAGGGGAGUGAAAAAGAACCUGAAACCGUGUACGUACAAGCAGUGGGAGCCCUGAUUUAUCAGGGUGACUGCGUACCUUUUGUAUAAUGGGUCAGCGACUUAUAUUCUGUAGCAAGGUUAACCGAAUAGGGGAGCCGGAGGGAAACCGAGUCUUAACUGGGCGUUAAGUUGCAGGGUAUAGACCCGAAACCCGGUGAUCUAGCCAUGGGCAGGUUGAAGGUUGGGUAACACUAACUGGAGGACCGAACCGACUAAUGUUGAAAAAUUAGCGGAUGACUUGUGGCUGGGGGUGAAAGGCCAAUCAAACCGGGAGAUAGCUGGUUCUCCCCGAAAGCUAUUUAGGUAGCGCCUCGUGAAUUCAUCUCCGGGGGUAGAGCACUGUUUCGGCAAGGGGGUCAUCCCGACUUACCAACCCGAUGCAAACUGCGAAUACCGGAGAAUGUUAUCACGGGAGACACACGGCGGGUGCUAACGUCCGUCGUGAAGAGGGAAACAACCCAGACCGCCAGCUAAGGUCCCAAAGUCAUGGUUAAGUGGGAAACGAUGUGGGAAGGCCCAGACAGCCAGGAUGUUGGCUUAGAAGCAGCCAUCAUUUAAAGAAAGCGUAAUAGCUCACUGGUCGAGUCGGCCUGCGCGGAAGAUGUAACGGGGCUAAACCAUGCACCGAAGCUGCGGCAGCGACACUGUGUGUUGUUGGGUAGGGGAGCGUUCUGUAAGCCUGCGAAGGUGUGCUGUGAGGUAUGCUGGAGGUAUCAGAAGUGCGAAUGCUGACAUAAGUAACGAUAAAGCGGGUGAAAAGCCCGCUCGCCGGAAGACCAAGGGUUCCUGUCCAACGUUAAUCGGGGCAGGGUGAGUCGACCCCUAAGGCGAGGCCGAAAGGCGUAGUCGAUGGGAAACAGGUUAAUAUUCCUGUACUUGGUGUUACUGCGAAGGGGGGACGGAGAAGGCUAUGUUGGCCGGGCGACGGUUGUCCCGGUUUAAGCGUGUAGGCUGGUUUUCCAGGCAAAUCCGGAGAAUCAAGGCUGAGGCGUGAUGACGAGGCACUACGGUGCUGAAGCAACAAAUGCCCUGCUUCCAGGAAAAGCCUCUAAGCAUCAGGUAACAUCAAAUCGUACCCCAAACCGACACAGGUGGUCAGGUAGAGAAUACCAAGGCGCUUGAGAGAACUCGGGUGAAGGAACUAGGCAAAAUGGUGCCGUAACUUCGGGAGAAGGCACGCUGAUAUGUAGGUGAAGCGACUUGCUCGUGGAGCUGAAAUCAGUCGAAGAUACCAGCUGGCUGCAACUGUUUAUUAAAAACACAGCACUGUGCAAACACGAAAGUGGACGUAUACGGUGUGACGCCUGCCCGGUGCCGGAAGGUUAAUUGAUGGGGUCAGCGCAAGCGAAGCUCUUGAUCGAAGCCCCGGUAAACGGCGGCCGUAACUAUAACGGUCCUAAGGUAGCGAAAUUCCUUGUCGGGUAAGUUCCGACCUGCACGAAUGGCGUAAUGAUGGCCAGGCUGUCUCCACCCGAGACUCAGUGAAAUUGAACUCGCUGUGAAGAUGCAGUGUACCCGCGGCAAGACGGAAAGACCCCGUGAACCUUUACUAUAGCUUGACACUGAACACUGGUCCUUGAUGUGUAGGAUAGGUGGGAGGCUUUGAAGUGUGGACGCCAGUCUGCAUGGAGCCGUCCUUGAAAUACCACCCUUUAAUGGCUGGUGUUCUAACGUGGGCCCGUAAUCCGGGUUGCGGACAGUGUCUGGUGGGUAGUUUGACUGGGGCGGUCUCCUCCUAAAGAGUAACGGAGGAGCACGAAGGUUGGCUAAUCCUGGUCGGACAUCAGGAGGUUAGUGCAAUGGCAUAAGCCAGCUUGACUGCGAGCGUGACGGCGCGAGCAGGUGCGAAAGCAGGUCAUAGUGAUCCGGUGGUUCUGAAUGGAAGGGCCAUCGCUCAACGGAUAAAAGGUACUCCGGGGAUAACAGGCUGAUACCGCCCAAGAGUUCAUAUCGACGGCGGUGUUUGGCACCUCGAUGUCGGCUCAUCACAUCCUGGGGCUGAAGUAGGUCCCAAGGGUAUGGCUGUUCGCCAUUUAAAGUGGUACGCGAGCUGGGUUUAGAACGUCGUGAGACAGUUCGGUCCCUAUCUGCCGUGGGCGCUGGAGAACUGAGGGGGGCUGCUCCUAGUACGAGAGGACCGGAGUGGACGCAUCACUGGUGUUCGGGUUGUCAUGCCAAUGGCACUGCCCGGUAGCUAAAUGCGGAAGAGAUAAGUGCUGAAAGCAUCUAAGCACGAAACUUGCCCCGAGAUGAGUUCUCCCUGAGACUUAGAGUCUCCUGAAGGAACGUUGAAGACGACGACGUUGAUAGGCCGGGUGUGUAAGCGCAGCGAUGCGUUGAGCUAACCGGUACUAAUGAACCGUGAGGCUUAACCUU